rnacentral:rRNA from 1 species
ACGGCCCAGACUCCUACGGGAGGCAGCAGUGGGGAAUAUUGCACAAUGGGCGCAAGCCUGAUGCAGCCAUGCCGCGUGAAUGAAGAAGGCCUUCGGGUUGUAAAGUUCUUUCGGUGGUGAGGAAGGUUGACGUGUUAAUAGCACGUUGGUUUGACGUUAGCCACAGAAGAAGCACCGGCUAACUCCGUGCCAGCAGCCGCACGGAGGGUAGGG